CACCGUCCGGGGCGGUUGAGGCCCGUGAGGACAUCGACCUCACCGAGUGUCGACGCGAUCCGGCUGAGCUCCGCGGCCGUCAGUGC
rnacentral:tRNA from 1 species